rnacentral:rRNA from 1 species
AGCGAACGCUGGCGGUAGGCCUAACACAUGCAAGUCGAACGGCAGCACAGUAAGUGCUUGCUCUUACGGGUGGCGAGUGGCGGACGGGAGAGGAAUAUAUCGGACUCUACUUUUUCGUGGGGGUUAACGAAGGGAAACUUACGCUAAUACCGCAUCUGACCUCCGGGUGUAAGCAUGGGAUAUUCGGACCUUGUGCGGAUGAAUGAGCCGCUGUCGGGUUUGAUAGUUGGCGGGGUAAUGGCCCACCCAGGCGACGAUCCGCAGCUGGACGGAGAGGAUGAUAGGCCGCAUUAGAACGUAGACGCGGACCAGACUCCUGAGGUAGGGAGCAGUGGGGAAUAGUAGACAAUGGUGGCAAGCCUGAUCCAGCCAUACCGCGUGGGAGGAGAAGGCCUUCGGUGUGUAAAGCCGUUUUGUUGGGAAAGAAAAGCAUCAGGUUAAUACCCCGCUGUACUGACGGUAACCAAUGAAUAAGCACCGGCUAACUUCGUG